rnacentral:rRNA from 1 species
GUGUCAGCCGCCGCGGUAAGACAGAGGUGCCAAGCGUUAGGCGGAAUCACUGGGCUUAAAGCGUGUGUAGGCGGACUGGUAAGUACCUUGUGAAAUCCCACGGCUCAACCGUGGAACUGCUUGGUAUACUGCUUGUCUUGAGCCACUUAGGGGCAAUCGGAACAAACGGUGGAGCGGUGAAAUGCGUAGAUAUCGUUUGGAACGCCAAUGGUGAAAACAGAUUGCUGGGAGUGUGCUGACGCUGAGACACGAAAGCCAGGGGAGCGAACGGGAUUAGAUACCCGCGUAGUCC